rnacentral:lncRNA from 1 species
AUGGUUUACAUCUCGAAUGGUCAGGUGUUGGACAGCAGGAAUCAGUCCCCAUGGAGAGUGUCUCUCCUAACAGACUUCUUCUGGGGAAUAGCAGAAUUUGUCGUUUUCUGUUUCAAAACUCUGCUUCAGCAAGAUGUAAAGAAAAGAAGAGGCUACGGGAGCUCCUCUGAUUCCAGAUACGACGAUGGAAGAGGGCCACCAGGAAACCCUCCACGAAGAAUGGGUAGGAUCAGUCACCUUUGUGGCCCCAGCCCUCCUCCAAUGGCUGGUGGAUGA